UCUCCCGAACAUCUCUCUUUUCACCAACUCCACCUAUCCUAUGUCCCCCCAUUCUCUUAGACCUCUUAUUUCUUGCCACCUCACAUCUCUCAAACUCUCAAACUCUCAAACUCUCAACUCUCUUUCUUCUUCCUCAGCAAACACCGAGAGGGUGCAAUCACCUCUACCACCACCACUCGUCGUCUCCGGCGAGCCAAACCUUCAAGUCACCACCAAAUCUCUCCACAUCGGUGAAGGUUAUCAACGUUCCAGCCUAAAACUAGAACUAAGGUUACGAACUCGAACCCUAGAACUCGACCUCCAUAUUUUUCGACAAGGACCUCUCGGAAUUUAGUGUGGGAAGCAACACAGGAGGAAGUUCUCCAGUUUUCUUGCAAGAGAUCUGGCCAUUUCGAACCGUUUUUCGGCCAAUUUCGGCAAGACAAGACCCCAUGUUGGUGCGAUUAUUAUCGGUGACCCCAACUUUUUUAGUUUGAGUGGCUGUGACCUUGCAAAUAUCUGUUUUAGUGCUGAGCUUUCUUGUCGACAAUGAUUCUUGGCAAAUCUCGGUAUAGAUGGCUACCUUUGAUGUACGAUGGCCGACUCUAGUGCUUUCGUCAAAGAGAAUUGAGGGCAAAGGUUCUAGAAAAGGUAAUAUGUACUAAAUUUGGUGUGUGGUAUAAAUUAUAUAUUUAGCUUGACUAUUUAAAAUUUAUAUUUUGUUAGUAGACAAGAAAAAGAAGAGAGUUGCGCCUCGAGUUUGAUACACUUUUGGUGGGAGAUGAUACCGAAUCACGUAUAAAGAAUUAAAGGGAUUUGGUGUGUCGGAGAUGCCCUCCAGGUUUAGGUGCAAAAUUGGGGCAUUAGUGCAUACCAAAUGUUAUGUGGAGUGGAAGUCUUGGAGAGACUUGCCCGAGGAGUUCAAGACGCACUUGAUUGAUGAGUUAGCUAUACGUGUUAAUUAGUUAAAUAAUAAUUAUAUUCCAUAAAUAAUAUAUUAGAUUGAUUUAUAAUUUAUUAUUUUUUGCAUUACAGCUUAAUUGGGACAUUACAAAACUGACCCAAAUAUGAUGAAGUGCAUCGACAACAUAUCCAAGUUGUCUUUCUGGCGUGGAAGUUUGAUGCUUAACGUGAGGCAAAACUGCUGUGAAUACCUGAACCACCAACGGUGGGGUAGAUUUUUUGUUGUUGUUGUUGUUGUUUUAUUUUUUAUUUUUUUUUAAAUUUUAAAUUUUUAAAUUUUAUGGUUAAUUGAAUAAUGACAUUUGACUUUUAAGUUUAUUUUGUAUGAACGGUACUUUUAAAUA